CAAAGUCAAGACAGAGAGCCCUCAUACUAAGCCACCGUCACAGGUGGUCAAGAAACCACAUGAUCAACAAGAGACAAAACAAGGACAGGGUGCUAAAGCAGCAACGGUCGAGAAGCCGGAUGGUGCCAAGACAGGAAUCCCUCAAUCACCUGUCAAACCACCGGUGAUGACGCAACCACGUGAUCAACAUGAGGCCAAACAAGGCCUGGGAUUUAAACCCGAAGAGCUGAAGCAUGAUGCACAGCAUAAAGCAGGGGAAGUACAGAAUGACAACAAGGAAUUAAUUGGUGAGCCUAAAGGACCUUUGAGUUCCAAAGAUGAGGAGAAGGACAAAGUUGGAGCGAAGUUGUUCGAGAAGUACAAAGAGGCAACUGGAAAUGUGGUACAGAAAGCUAAAAGCCAAAGGCAGCUACUCUGCAAUAUGGCUGCUUCGAUUACAUUGGUUCUGCUAAUCCUACUCUAUGCUAGAAAUGCAGUACGUUCAUCCCUUGUGUGGAACUCAGAGGAAUGAGUGACCCUUCACACAAUGUAUAUGUUUGCUCAGGCAGAAAAUAAAUAAUAUUUGAUAAUUCCCCUCUACAUGUCUGUCUACAAAUGUGUAACUAGAAAAUGAGAAAAAAAAAAAACUCCAUUUUAUAGAUUUCAAAUCAGUUUUAGCGUAAUUCCAGUGCCAGAACAAUCAUUACAGGUUCAUUCCAAGCAAUGAUAAUACGUAGAGGGAUUUAGAGAGAGAAGAAAGUGGUAGUAUGAACAAACUUACUGGAUGAGAAAGACUUUAUGACUUAUUUAGCUGAGAGCGGAUUAGCUUGGUAGCAGCAACCAUGUUGCUCAGUGCAGACUUAACUUCAGAGUACUUCCGCGUCUUUAGGCCACAGUCAGGGUUCACCCAAAGGACUUUGCUGUCCAGAACUGCAAGCAUCUUAUUGAUACGCUCAGCUAUUUCUUCAGAUGAUGGGAUACGAGGAGAGUGAAUGUCAUACACCCCUGGACCGAUUCCAGCACCGUAUUUCACUCCUUCAUGGAAGACUGAUAAGAGCUUCUCAUCUGACCGUGAGUUUUCAAUAGUGAUCACAUCAGCAUCCAUGUUUAUGAUUGAGUUGAUAAUGUCGUUGAAAUUUGAGUAGCACAUGUGGGUGUGAAUCUGCAUGAAAGUACAAGGAAAGCAUGAAUAAAUUACAUCUGUUUCAUAAUGGAGCAAUAAUGUGAGAUAAAGAUGACCUGAGUAGUGUCUCGCACAUCACAGUUUGUGAUUCUGAAUGCGUGGACGGCCCAGUCAAGGUAAAGUUCUUGCUCGGACCUCCUGAGAGGCAAUCCUUCUCUUAAUGCAGCUUCAUCAAUCUGGAUAACAGUGAUGCCAGCCUUCUCAAGGUCCUUAACCUCAUCUUUAAUCGCGAGUGCAAUUUGGAAACACGUCUCAUACCUAUAAACAGCAACAGUGAGAUGGAACACCACAUAGAGUGAAAAGAGAAUUUGAUAGGCUUGGGUUGUCACACACCUGGGCUGGUCAUUUCUAACAAAGGACCAAUUGAGAAUUGUCACAGGACCAGUGAGCAUCCCCUUCAUAGGACGUUCGGUCAUCUUCUGUGCCAUUGACGACCAGAAGACAGUCAUUGCCUUUGGUCGGCUGACAUCACCGUAGAUGAUAGGUGGCUUGACACAGCGGGAUCCAUAUGACUGGACCCAGCAAAGCUCAUAAUGCAUUGUCUUAUGUGAUUAGGUUUCAAGAAAGAACAAGUUAAGGUGGCGGUAACCACAACAAGGAAGCUAAGACUAACAGGAGAACGUCCAACUGGUGGAAACAAAUGGAUUCGUUUCCGCCACGAAAUUACAGUUCCUAUGACCGUUGAUAUUGACUCUGUUUCAGCUAUGUUCAAGGAUAACAAACUCUACAUCCGACAUUCCAAAGUCAAGACAGAGAGCCCUCAUACUAAGCCACCGUCACAGGUGGUCAAGAAACCACAUGAUCAACAAGAGACAAAACAAGGACAGGGUGCUAAAGCAGCAACGGUCGAGAAGCCGGAUGGUGCCAAGACAGGAAUCCCUCAAUCACCUGUCAAACCACCGGUGAUGACGCAACCACGUGAUCAACAUGAGGCCAAACAAGGCCUGGGAUUUAAACCCGAAGAGCUGAAGCAUGAUGCACAGCAAAAAGCAGGGGGAGUACAGAAUGACAACAAGGAACUAAUUGG
rnacentral:lncRNA from 1 species